AGGGAUAAAUCUGGGGCUGAGUACAAGCAAAACAAGACCAAAGGAAGCUACCUGAGCAGGUAUUCCAGAUACUCAUGUCAUACACCAAGGUUGUACCAGUGCCCCUUUCUCUGUGACACAUCCAUCCACUGGAAACUUUCGUACAACUAGCUGAAAGAAGAGAAACAUCCUAUUUCAUGUCACUGGAGCCCUAAUGAUCGCAGCCAUUUCAGGAAAUGCCAUCAAUUACAGUGAGGAGCUCAUUCAGAAGUGAAAGAUGAGUUCCAUUCUCUGUUACUUAGAGGAACACAAUUAUUUCUGGAAAGAGUAUUACACUCAGUAUUCUGCAUUUCAUAUGGCAUUUCAAAGUCCUGAGAAUGACUCUCCGUAGUCUUCUAUGUACUAAUUAAACAUGAACAUGUGGU
rnacentral:lncRNA from 10 species